AUGAGUUGUCCUAAAGUCAAUAAGCACAGUAGCAGAAUCAAACUAAAUGUGUGAGAUUAGUUAAGGUGUGUGUAGAUUGGCUCAAACGUUUUUAUGGUA